rnacentral:rRNA from 1 species
CCUACGGGAGGCAGCAGUGAGGAAUAUUGGUCAAUGGGCGAGAGCCUGAACCAGCCAAGUCGCGUGAGGGAAGACGGUCCUAUGGAUUGUAAACCUCUUUUGCCGGGGAGCAAAAAGCGGUACGUGUACCGCAUCGAGCGUACCCGGAGAAAAAGCAUCGGCAAACUCUGUGCCAGCAGCCGCGGUAAUACGGAGGAUGCGAGGGUUAUCGGGAUUUAUUGGGUUAAAAGGGUGCGCAGGCGGCGAGUUAAGUCAGCGGUAAAAUUUCGGGGCUCAACCCCGACGAGCCGUUGAAACUGGCUUGCUAGAGUGGGCGAGAGGUAUGCGGAAUGCGUGGUGUAGCGGUGAAAUGCAUAGAUAUCACGCAGAACUCCGAUUGCGAAGGCAGCAUGCCGGCGCCCAACUGACGCUCAGGCACGAAAGCGUGGGUAGCGAACAGGAUUAGAUACCCGAGUAGUC